UAUCAAGAGGCACGCAGUAUAAUACAACAUAAUGUUUAUACUUUAAUCUUUAUAAUAACUAAGGCAGUGACACUGGGUUUUCUCUAAAAGACAAAAGUUAUUAUUCAUUGUGCGAUUACAUAAUUUAUCAAUAAUCAUUCCGGAUCAGCGCUGUGCCGUGUGGACUGUAAAUCCGAGGGUCUCCAAGUAGCCGUGUAAACAGAAGUAGUGAGAAGCAAACUAAAAAUCAGAAUUGUAAUGGAGAAUUAUAACUACGGGGCCGUGAUUAAAAUAGAUGAAGAAAACGAGGACACAGAAGAGCAAUACACCAACGCAUUAGUGAAAAAAACAAAACUGAAUUACAUUGUUGAAUCAAACAACAGCUAUCCACAUUUAUUCUCCAAAGCCAUUCGACGGGAAUGCAUAUAAGUAAAAUUGUCAGUGAAACAUGCAACGAAACAGUAGUCCAAGUCGACGAAGUAGACACUGUGAAUGGAUAUACGUUUGAGUCUGUGAUAGAAUACCAAAAAAAUGGGCCUUUGGAUGUGCAAACGACGGACUACGGUCUGGACUACGCUCUAAUUUAUUAAGUUAAGAAUACAACUGUGUAUCAAAUUUGUCAUUUUUUACUCAGUCAAUAAUUGUACUAUCAUAAGAAUAUCCUUUCCAAGUCUUUCUAACUCUGAACUCUACUUAGUCAUCUAGUAGUAAGUAGUUUAUAUUUUAAAAUUAUGGUUUCUGAAGUUUGGUUGAAUUAUAUUAAUAUAAUAAUUUUGCCACAAAAUCUAUGGGUUUCUAUUAAUAUGCAAUUUUAUGAAUUCACACCGUCGAAGCUAAAAUGUUAUUAAAAUUGGUUUUUGUAAUUGAGAUGCGUACAUUUUUUACAAUUUACCAAUUUUAAGCCUGCUAAAUCAGAUUAUGUUAGACCUGCUUCAACAAGUAAAGUCAAUUAAAAACAAAAGUAUAAAUGUAAUGUGUGCUCUAAGGCUUUUUCUGCAAAAUCCAGCUUCAGGAGACACGCACGAUUACAUACUGAUGGCUAGUGUGUGUUUUAAUUUUUCUUACAUAAACCUGAAACUAUUACAACCUACACCGUGAAGUUCAGUCGAUAAUUUAUAUGAUUUGUUUUUCCGUUUGACUUGUUUAUUUUAUAAUUUGUUAAUAAUUGGAACUUAAUAGGGUACGCGUUAAUGAUUUUAACCACUAGAUUUAACAUUAAACAAAAUAACCAAAAAAUGUAUAUUUUUUUUUGUAAUAUUAAGCUGAUUUACCCCACUUAAGUUAGUAACUGUUUGACUAGUUAUUUUUUUGUUUAUUUUAACAAAUGUGUUAUUAUUAUUACUUUUAUUUAAUCAUUUUGUAUAUAUAUUUUGUAGCAUUUAUUUGGAAAUUUUCUUUGCUUAAUUAAUGUUAUUUAUAGUAAAGAUAUAAAAUCUACUUGAACCCUAAACCAUAAAAAUUAUACACUUCUUGCGUACACGUGUUACAACAACGAUGUUGUCAUCUUCAGCGCUAACAACAGACUGUUAAUUAAUUAAUUUAAUUAAACUUAUUGCGUAAAUAUUAGUAUAAUUAUUGUGAGUUCACCGACAAAAAUGGAUGUUUAUGGAAAUAGUUUUUUUAGCGAUAAAAUAAAUGUGAUGAAUUAAUUUUUAAUUUAUAUUGUAUUGUGCUUAGAAUAUUUUUUAUAAUUUUUAUUUUAUUUUAUAUUUUUUCUAUAAUUUGUUUGGUAGUUAUUUUUAUUAUGACGAUUGUGAAG